rnacentral:rRNA from 1 species
UACAGAGGGUGCGAGCGUUUAAUCGGAAUUACUGGGCGUAAAGCGUGCGUAGACGGUUAUUUAAGUCGGAUGUGAAAGCCCCGGGCUCAACCUGGGAAUUGCAUUCGAGACUGAAUAGCUAGGGUGCGGUAGAGGGAAGCGGAAUUUCCGGUGUAGCGGUGAAAUGCGUAGAUAUCGGAAGGAACUCAGUGGCGAAAGCGGCUUCCUGGACCAGCACCGAACGUCAGGCACGAAAGCGUGGGGAGCAAACAGG